rnacentral:rRNA from 1 species
GACAGAGGGUGCGAGCGUUGUCCGGAAUCACUGGGCGUAAAGGGCGCGUAGGUGGCGCGGCAAGUCAACGGUGAAAGCUCGACGCUCAACGUCGAGUCGGCCGUCGAUACUGCUGGGCUUGAGCACUGUAGAGGCAGAUGGAAUUCCGGGUGUAGCGGUGGAAUGCGUAGAGAUCCGGAGGAAGACCGGUGGCGAAGGCGGGUUGCUGGGCUGACACUGACGCUGAAGUGCGAAAGCUAGGGGAGCGAACGGG